rnacentral:tRNA from 2 species
GCCAAGGUUGUGGAGCGGUCAAACACGAUUGCCUGUAGAGCAAUUGCCGUAAGGCUACCUAGGUUCGAAUCCUAGCCUUGGCA